AAUAGAUACCCUGGUAGUCCACGCCGUAAACGAUGAGUGCUAAGUGUUAGAGGGUUUCCGCCCUUUAGUGCUGCAGCUAACGCAUUAAGCACUCCGCCUGGGGAGUACGGCCGCAAGGCUGAAACUCAAAGGAAUUGACGGGGGCCCGCACAAGCGGUGGAGCAUGUGGUUUAAUUCGAAGCAACGCGAAGAACCUUACCAGGUCUUGACAUCCUCUGCCAACCCUAGAGAUAGGGCGUUCCCCUUCGGGGGACAGAGUGACAGGUGGUGCAUGAUUGUCGUCAGCUCGUGUCGUGAGAUGUUGGGUUAAGUCCCGCAACGAGCGCAACCCUUGAUCUUAGUUGCCAGCAUUCAGUUGGGCACUCUAAGGUGACUGCCGGUGACAAACCGGAGGAAGGUGGGGAUGACGUCAAAUCAUCAUGCCCCUUAUGACCUGGGCUACACACGUGCUACAAUGGAUGGUACAAAGAGCUGCGAACCCGCGAGGGUAAGCCAAUCUCAUAAAGCCAUUCUCAGUUCGGAUUGU
rnacentral:rRNA from 1 species